rnacentral:misc_RNA from 1 species
UGAGAGUUUGUAACACCCGAAGCCGGUGGCGUAACCCUUUUAGGGAGCGAGCCGUCUAAGGUGGGACAAAUGAUUAGGGUGAAGUCGUAACAAGGUAGCCGUAGGAGAACCUGCGGCUGGAUCACCUCCUUUCUAAGGAAACAGACUGAAAGUCUGACGGAAACCUGCACACACGAAACUUUGUUUAGUUUUGAGGGGAUCACCCUCAAGCACCCUAACGGGUGCGACUUUGUUCUUUUGAAAACUGGAUAUCAUUGUAUUAAUUGUUUUAAAUUGCCGAGAACACAGCGUAUUUGUAUGAGUUUCUGAAAAAGAAAUUCGCAUCGCAUAACCGCUGACGCAAGUCAGUACAGGUUAAGUUACAAAGGGCGCACGGUGGAUGCCUUGGCACUAGGAGCCGAUGAAGGACGGAACUAAUACCGAUAUGCUUCGGGGAGCUAUAAGUAAGCUUUGAUCCGGAGAUUUCCGAAUGGGGGAACCCAGUACACAUCAGUGUAUUGCUUGUCAGUGAAUACAUAGCUGGCCGGCGGCAGACGCGGGGAACUGAAACAUCUCAGUACCCGCAGGAAGAGAAAGAAAACUCGAUUCCCAUAGUAGCGGCGAGCGAAGUGGGAAGAGCCCAAACCGAGAAGCUUGCUUCUCGGGGUUGUAGGACUGGACAUUGGAGUUACCAAAGUCCGACGUAGUCGAAGUCAGCUGGAAAGCUGCGCCACAGAAGGUGAAAGCCCUGUAAGCGAAACGUCGAACCCUCCGUCCAGGAUCCUGAGUACGGCGGAACACGUGAAAUUCCGUCGGAAUCCGGGAGGACCAUCUCCCAAGGCUAAAUACUCCCUAGUGACCGAUAGUGAACCAGUACGGA